UACGGGGGGGGCAAGCGUUGUUCGGAAUUACUGGGCGUAAAGCGCUCGUAGGUGGCCAACUAAGUCAGACGUGAAAUCCCUCGGCUUAACCGGGGAACUGCGUCUGAUACUGGAUGGCUUGAGUUUGGGAGAGGGACGCGGAAUUCCAGGUGUAGCGGUAAAAUGCGUAGAUAUCUGGAGGAACACCGGUGGCGAAGGCGGCGUCCUGGACCAACACUGACACUGAGGAGCGAAAGCCAGGGGAGCAAACGGG
rnacentral:rRNA from 1 species